rnacentral:rRNA from 1 species
GUCGUAACAAGGUUUCCGUAGGUGAACCUGCGGAAGGAUCAUUACCUAGAGUUUGUAGACUUCGGUCUGCUACCUCUUACCCAUGUCUUUUGAGUACCUUCGUUUCCUCGGCGGGUCCGCCCGCCGAUUGGACAACAUUCAAACCCUUUGCAGUUGCAAUCAGGGUCUGAAAAAACAUAAUAGUUACAACUUUCAACAACGGAUCUCUUGGUUCUGGCAUCGAUGAAGAACGCAGCGAAAUGCGAUAAGUAGUGUGAAUUGCAGAAUUCAGUGAAUCAUCGAAUCUUUGAACGCACAUUGCGCCCCUUGGUAUUCCAUGGGGCAUGCCUGUUCGAGCGUCAUUUGUACCUUCAAGCUCUGCUUGGUGUUGGGUGUUUGUCUCGCCUCUGCGUGUAGACUCGCCUUAAAACAAUUGGCAGCCGGCGUAUUGAUUUCGGAGCGCAGUACAUCUCGCGCUUUGCACUCAUAACGACGACGUCCAAAAGUACAUUUUUACACUCUUGACCUCGGAUCANGUAGGGAUACCCGCUGAACUUAAGCAUAUCA